UAGUUGUAUGAACUUAGGAAAAGAAAAAGAGAACAUAUAUCCCCCUACCUUUUGAUUUCCAACAGUCUACUGAGAGGCCAAGAUUAUUUGCAGGGAAAGAAAAGGGGUCAAAAUGUUUUGCCAGUAACUCCCAAAUCAUCUACAGCCAAGGAGAAAAGUGUUUCAAGACAGAGGUGCUCAAUGGUAUCAAAUACUGCCAACAGACCAAGUAAUACAUGCAUUGAAGUGUCUACUGGAUCUAGCUAUAUGAAUUUUUAAUUUAGGACACUUAGGCCAUACUGAAGCAAGGUGACAAAAUGAAUAGCUACAAUGUCUCGUGAAUCUUGGGUUUCCAUUCACCCUGGUAUUCAAGAGAAAUUCUUGCAUCAUGGAAGUUGCAGUUGGAUAGGACUUUCUCAGCUGAACACUGUCAUCUGCCAGAGCUUCAGAUGAAGAAACUGAGGCAGACAGAGGUGAAGAAACUUGCACAAGGUCAAAGAACAAAGAGUCACAUUAGCAGCUGGAUAUUCAGCUGUGAAGCUCAAGGAAGAAGUCAGGGCUGGAGAUAUAUGAAUGAGAACCAUCUGCAUAAAGAUGAUCUUUAAAAUCAUGGAGCUGGAUGAAAUCUCUCUCCACUCCUCCCCACAGGGGAAUGGAGCAAUGCCCAGGGCGCCCUGGGG
rnacentral:lncRNA from 10 species